rnacentral:lncRNA from 1 species
UCUCCUGCCUCUGCCUCCUGAGUGCUAGGAUUAAAGAUGCCUGCCACUACUGCCUGGACUGUCUAGGUAUUCUGACUGCCUUAGAUGGGAGGACGUGGUGAGCGACUCAAGGAUUACCAUGCAGGAGGCCAAGAAAAAAAAAAUCUUACCAAUACCUGAGCAACUAAAUCUAAAUGGUAAAGGUGACAGAGAAUUUAAAGUUGGUACAAAAGCAGCUGUUGGGGUGGUACCAAAUAACUAUAAUCCCCAGCAUUUAGACACAAGAUCAGAAAUUCAAGGCUAAUAUGUGCUGGCUGGCUACCCAGCCAAUGAGUUCAAGCCAGUCUAGGCUAUACGUGUUCCUGUCUCAACAAGCAAGCAGACGAACGACAACAACCACAACAAAACAAGCAAGCAAAACCCCCAAAGGCUGUACACAGAAAGCAAAAACAAUGUACAGAAGAAAAGAGGUGAGGACCUAACCUCAGGCACUGACAAACGGACAUGGUACAUACAGCACACCUAUAAUCCCAGCACUCUGGACUGCUGGUAAAGUCAGGAUAUCAAUGUCAUCCUUACAUCCUAGACUCCACAAGUUUAAAGCCAUCAUAGGAUAGAUGAAAAUGUCAAAAAAAAAAAAAAAAAAAAUCAAGAAAAGAGAGAAGGAAGAGUAAGUCAAAAAGAGCUUUGGUUGUGAUGUACUCCAGAGGCUGGGCAGAGACUGCAGAGUAGCUUAACUAGCUUGGGCUAUAAAAUAUCUUGUCUCAAAAAGGAAGGACGGACAGAAGGACGGAAGGAAUGAAGGAAGUUUGCAAUUGUUUCAAAGAUGCACAUGCCUGAAGCAUACCUAUCCGCGGCCGCGGAGUCCAGUCACUAGAGCUGGCGUGUGACGUUCUGUCAUCGUCAUCACUUUCACAGGAAUGAAAGCCAUUAGUGAGGAGUCCAUCGGUCAACAGGAGGUUGUCUGUCAAAGAGAUCAAAAGGCUGCGGCUCAGACAAUCCCCAGCUGGGCCCUGCGGUCCACACCUGCAAUCCCAGGUACUUUGAGGCCCGUUUGGCCUGUAUGGUGAGACACACACAGGUUCUUGAGACAAAAACAAAAAACCAGAAAGGCACAGAAGCACACACAUCUGUAACUCCAGCACCUGGAAGGCACAGACAUUGGAAACCAGCCUGACAUAUAUAAAAUAGUGAGUUCCGGACCAGCCUGGGCUAAACAGGGACCCUACC